UGAGGAAUAUUGGACAAUGGGCGAAAGCCUGAUCCAGCCAUGCCGCGUGUGUGAAGAAGGUCUUCGGAUUGUAAAGCACUUUAAGUUGGGAGGAAGGGCAGUUACCUAAUACGUGAUUGUUUUGACGUUACCGACAGAAUAAGCACCGGCUAACUCUGUGCCAGCAGCCGCGGUAAUACAGAGGGUGCAAGCGUUAAUCGGAAUUACUGGGCGUAAAGCGCGCGUAGGUGGUUAGUUAAGUUGGAUGUGAAAUCCCCGGGCUCAACCUGGGAACUGCAUUCAAAACUGACUGACUAGAGUAUGGUAGAGGGUGGUGGAAUUUCCUGUGUAGCGGUGAAAUGCGUAGAUAUAGGAAGGAACACCAGUGGCGAAGGCGACCACCUGGACUGAUACUGACACUGAGGUGCGAAAGCGUGGGGAGCAAACAGGAUUAGAUACCCAAGUAGUCCCUGAGCGGGCUGGCAAGGCGCAU
rnacentral:rRNA from 1 species